UUCACUGUGAGACUGUUGCUAAUACACUGU
rnacentral:piRNA from 1 species